GCCGGUUGCCAACCGACAGGGAGAAAAAGGGAAGCAGGUGCAAAUCCUGAACAGUACCCGCUGCUGUAAGCUCUUUGUUUCAUCGACCACACGGCCACUGUCCUAUUGACGGGAAGGCGUUGAUGAUAGAGCGAGUCAGAAGACCUGCCGGUUCAA
rnacentral:ncRNA from 1 species